AUUGAACGCUGGCGGCAGGCCUAACACAUGCAAGUCGAACGGCAGCACAGAAGAGCUUGCUCUUUGGGUGGCGAGUGGCGGACGGGUGAGUAACACGUAGGAAUCUACCCAGUAGUGGGGGAUAACCUGGGGGAAACCCAGGCUAAUACCGCAUACGCCCUGAGGGGGAAAGCGGGGGAUCUUCGGACCUCGCGCUAUUGGAUGAGCCUGCGUCGGAUUAGCUAGUUGGUGGGGUAAGGGCUCACCAAGGCGACGAUCCGUAGCUGGUCUGAGAGGAUGACCAGUCACACCGGAACUGAGACACGGUCCGGACUCCUACGGGAGGCAGCAGUGGGGAAUAUUGGACAAUGGGCGCAAGCCUGAUCCAGCCAUGCCGCGUGGGUGAAGAAGGCCUUCGGGUUGUAAAGCCCUUUAGGUGGGGAGGAAGGCAUUCAUGCUAAUACCAUGGAUGAUUGACGUUACCACAGAAUAAGCACCGGCUAACUCCGUGCCAGCAGACCG
rnacentral:rRNA from 1 species